rnacentral:rRNA from 1 species
GACGAACGCUGGCGGCGUGCUUAACACAUGCAAGUCGAACGGUGAAGCGCCUUCCUUUUUGGUGGGUGUGGAUGAGUGGCGAACGGGUGAGUAACACGUGAGUAACCUGCCCCCUUCUUCUGGAUAACCGCAUGAAAGUGUGGCUAAUACGGGAUAUUCUGGGUCUGUCGCAUGAUGGGUCUGGGAAAGAUAUUGUUUCGGUGGGGGAUGGGCUCGCGGCCUAUCAGCUUGUUGGUGGGGUGAUGGCCUACCAAGGCGGUGACGGGUAGCCGGCCUGAGAGGGUGGACGGUCACACUGGGACGGAGACACGGCCCAGACUCCUACGGGAGGCAGCAGUGGGGAAUAUUGCACAAUGGGCGCAAGCUUGAUGCAGCGACGCCGCGUGAGGGAUGGAGGCCUGCGGGUUGUGAACCUCUUUCGCCAGUGAAGCAGGCCUGCCUCGUUUGUGGGUGGGUCGACGGUAGCUGGAUAAGAAGCGCCGGCUAACUACGUG